CUUUGAGAAACUUGUGUGACUGGUUCCUGGAUGUCUCUUGUCUCUGAUCCUACAUAACAUCCGUACCCAUUUUCCUGAGACAAGAAACUCCAAAAGAUUAAGAAACAGGUCCAAGCUUCAACUGUCGAGUGGCAGAACCUGUGUACCGUCUGACCCCAAACCUCACUCUCAUCAGCAUCACCUGUGCCAGGCACUGACAGCUCCUGGGGUGAUUGAUGUUUCGUCCGAAGUCCACAAAACCUCCAUCCAGGAUGUUCUACAGCUCCUGUCUUCUCCACCACUGAGGCCAGCUCUCCUGAGCUUGGGUGGGAGUCAGUGAGUUAGGCCCUGGGACAUUGCCCUAAAGAAAUCCUUAUUGGGCACCAAAUACCUCAGCAUCCUAGCUGAGAAGUGAAACUUAUGGCAGGGGGAGACUUUUAUUAGGACUGGUGGAGAAUAAAGAGAGAAAAUAUGAUAUACCAUCUACCUUGGGAUGCCUUUCCUAACUGAAAUAAUUUUUAUAUU